AUUUAAAUAGCUUAUAAUUAGAGCAUAAUAUUGAAAAUAUUAGUGAAAUAAAAAAUUUUUAAAUA
rnacentral:tRNA from 1 species